rnacentral:rRNA from 1 species
GAUGAACGCUGGCGGCGUGCCUAAUACAUGCAAGUAGAACGCUGAAGCUUGGUGCUUGCACCGAGCGGAUGAGUUGCGAACGGGUGAGUAACGCGUAGGUAACCUGCCUCUUAGCGGGGGAUAACUAUUGGAAACGAUAGCUAAUACCGCAUAAAAGUCGAUAUCGCAUGAUAUUGAUUUGAAAGGUGCAAAUGCAUCACUAAGAGAUGGACCUGCGUUGUAUUAGCUAGUUGGUGAGGUAACGGCUCACCAAGGCGACGAUACAUAGCCGACCUGAGAGGGUGAUCGGCCACGCUGGGACUGAGACACGGCCCAGACUCCUACGGGAGGCAGCAGUAGGGAAUCUUCGGCAAUGGGGGCAACCCUGACCGAGCAACGCCGCGUGAGUGAAGAAGGUUUUCGGAUCGUAAAGCUCUGUUGUAAGAGAAGAACGAGUGUGAGAGUGGAAAGUUCACACUGUGACGGUAACUUACCAGAAAGGGACGGCUAACUACGUG